AUGAACGCUGGCGGCGUGCCUCAUACCUGCCAGUCGAGCGAACAGACGAGGAGCUUGCUCCUCUGACGUUAGCGGCGGACGGGUGAGUAACACGUGGAUAACCUACCUAUAAGACUGGGAUAACUUCGGGAAACCGGAGCUAAUACCGGAUAAUAUAUUGAACCGCAUGGUUCAAUAGUGAAAGACGGUUUUGCUGUCACUUAUAGAUGGAUCCGCGCCGCAUUAGCUAGUUGGUAAGGUAACGGCUUACCAAGGCAACGAUGCGUAGCCGACCUGAGAGGGGGAUAGGCCACACUGGAACUGAGACACGGUCCAGACUCCUAAGGGAGGCAGCAGUAGGGAAUCUUCCGCAAUGGGCGAAAGCCUUGCGGAGCAACGCCGCGUGAGUGAUGAAGGUCUUCGGAUCGUAAAACUCUGUUAUUAGGGAAGAACAAAUGUGUAAGUAACUAUGCACGUCUUGACGGUACCUAAUCAGAAAGCCACGGCUAACUACGUG
rnacentral:rRNA from 1 species